GCGCUCAUAGCUCAAUUGGAUAGAGCAUUUGCCUUCGGAGCAAAGGGUUGGGGGUUCAAGUCCCUCUGGGCGCAC
rnacentral:tRNA from 1 species